AUUGAACGCUGGCGGCAUGCUUUACACAUGCAAGUCGAACGGCAGCGCGGGCUUCGGCCUGGCGGCGAGUGGCGAACGGGUGAGUAAUACAUCGGAACGUGCCCAGUAGUGGGGGAUAGCUCGGCGAAAGCCGGAUUAAUACCGCAUUCGACCUGAGGGUGAAAGCGGGGGAUCUUCGGACCUCGCGCUAUUGGAGCGGCCGAUGGCAGAUUAGCUAGUUGGUGGGGUAAAGGCCUACCAAGGCGACGAUCUGUAGCUGGUCUGAGAGGACGACCAGCCACACUGGGACUGAGACACGGCCCAGACUCCUACGGGAGGCAGCAGUGGGGAAUUUUGGACAAUGGGCGAAAGCCUGAUCCAGCAAUGCCGCGUGUGUGAUGAAGGCCUUCGGGUUGUAAAGCACUUUUGGCGGGAACGAAAAGGACUGUGCCAAUACCACGGUUCGAUGACGGUACCCGCAGAAUAAGCACCGGCUAACUACGUG
rnacentral:rRNA from 1 species